GCAACUCGCCUGCAUGAAGCUGGAAUUGCUAGUAAUCGCGGAUCAGCAAGCCGCGGUGAAUACGUUCCCGGGCCUUGUACACACCGCCCGUCACACCAUGAGAGUCGGGAACACCCGAAGUCCGUAGUCUAACCGCAAGGGGGGCGCGGCCGAAGGUGGGGUUGAUGAUUAGGGUUAAGUCGUAACAAGGUACC
rnacentral:rRNA from 1 species